rnacentral:rRNA from 1 species
AACGAACGCUGGCGGCAGGCCUAACACAUGCAAGUCGAACGCUACGCACGGGGAGUGGCCCACUGGUGAGUACCGCGUGGGAUUGUACCUAUUCGUAAGGACUCACAUCUGGAAACGACGGCUAAUACCCUAUACGCCCUAUGGGGGAAAGAGUUAUCGCUAAUAGAUGAGCCCGCGUAAGAUUAGCUAGUUGGUGAGGUAAUGGCUCACCAAGGCUACGAUCUUUAGCUGGUCGGAGAGGAUGAUCAGCCACACUGGAACUGAGACACGGUCCAGACUCCUACGGGAGGCAGCAGUGGGGAAUAUUGGACAAUGGGCGAAAGCCUGAUCCAGCCAUGGCGCGUGAAUGAUGAAGGCCUUAGGGUUGUAAAGUUCUUUCGCCGCCGAGGAUAAUGACGGUAAGCGGAUAAGAAGCCCCGGCUAACUUCGUGCCAGCCGCCGCGGUAA